rnacentral:rRNA from 1 species
CCUACGGGAGGCAGCAGUGGGGAAUAUUGCGCAAUGGGCGAAAGCCUGACGCAGCGACGCCGCGUGAGGGAUGAAGGUCUUCGGAUCGUAAACCUCUGUCAGCAGGGAAGAACGGUCACUGUGCUAAUCAGCAGUGAAUUGACGGUACCUGCAAAGGAAGCACCGGCUAACUCCGUGCCAGCAGCCGCGGUAAUACGGAGGGUGCGAGCGUUAAUCGGAAUUACUGGGCGUAAAGCGCUCGUAGGCGGUAUGUCAAGUCAAGGGUGAAAUCCCCGCGCUCAACGUGGGAACUGCCUUUGAAACUGGCAAACUGGAGUGUGUGAGAGGAGAGUAGAAGUCCAGGUGUAGGAGUGAAAUCCGUAGAUAUCUGGAGGAACAUCAGUGGCGAAGGCGACUAUCUGGAACAUAACUGACGCUGAGGAGCGAAAGCGUGGGUAGCAAACAGGAUUAGAUACCCUAGUAGUC